rnacentral:sRNA from 1 species
CCCGGCCGGCACCAAAACUUGCACCUAUCCUAAAUAUGGAGCUUCAGUGUGCGGCCGGGAACUUCCUGUGCCCCGCUGGCGCCUUGUCCUUCAACGCCUUCAAGACCGUGAUGGACAUCGACACCAGCGGCACCUUCAACGUGUCUCGUGUGCUCUAUGAGAAGUUCUUCGACCAUGGAGGGGUGAUCGUGAACAUCACUGCCACCCUGGGGAACCGGGGGCAGGCGCUCCAGGUGCAUGCAGGCUCCGCCAAGGCCGCUGUGGACGCGAUGACGCGGCACUUGGCUGUGGAGUGGGGUCCCCAAAACAUCCGCGUCAACAGCCUCGCCCCCGGCCCCAUCAGUGGCACGGAGGGGCUCCGGCGACUGGGAAUCUUCCGGCCGCUGCUUCCCGCCGCCUCACUCAGCCAGGUGGAGAGCACCAAUCUGAACCAGCAAUGCCUGCAGCCCAGCCCCUCCUCUGAACACUCAGCUAUUACUGCGCUUUCCCUCCCCACGGCCCCAACUCCAGGGCAGGAGCAACUGGACAGUGGGCCUGGCCCGUGGAGCUGCCACGCAGGUGCCUGAGGGCCAGGUGCCACGCAGGUGUCUGAGGACCAGGUGCCACGCAGGUGGUGGGGGUACAGACAAGAUGCUGGGAUGUCCCCUGCCCCAUGGUCAAGGGUGUCCUGCCUGCCUGGGUCCAGGGCCUGAGGGAGCCACAUGGAUCCCGAGACUUGUGUUCUCUUGGCUGAAAACACUGAGGUGCUCCCAUCUGUGCGUGGCCCAUGAGCUGGGAUGGUCCUCCAGCUGCCCACAAGGUCCGCCCCUCUGUCUCUGCACCACCUGUUUGCAUAAACACACUUUGCUACAAUCUUGCUAGUGCGUUUUCUUAAAAGAUAAUCUAUUUACUGUAAAAAUAAAUUGGACUUUGCAAAAGCUUUUAGAAGGAAAAGAAAGAGGAUUAAAGAGAAUUGCUGGUGAUCCUA